CAGAUUAUAGCUUAUAUUAAAGUUUAUUAUUUACAUUAAUAAGAAAAUUGUUUAUUUUAUCUGA
rnacentral:tRNA from 2 species